rnacentral:rRNA from 1 species
CCUACGGGAGGCAGCAGUGAGGAAUAUUGGUCAAUGGGCGAGAGCCUGAACCAGCCAAGUCGCGUGAAGGAUGAAGGAUCUAUGGUUUGUAAACUUCUUUUAUAUGGGAAUAAAGUGAGGAACGUGUUCCUUUUUGUAUGUACCAUAUGAAUAAGCAUCGGCUAACUCCGUGCCAGCAGCCGCGGUAAUACGGAGUAUGCGAGCGUUAGCCGGAUUUAUUGGGUUUAAAGGGUGCGUAGGUGGUUAAUUAAGUCAGCGGUGAAAGUUUGUGGCUCAACCAUAAAAUUGCCGUUGAAACUGGUUGUCUUGAGUAUAUUUGAGGUAGGCGGAAUGCGUGGUGUAGCGGUGAAAUGCUUAGAUAUCACGCAGAACUCCGAUUGCGAAGGCAGCUUACUAAACUAUAACUGACACUGAAGCACGAAAGCGUGGGGAUCAAACAGGAUUAGAUACCCGAGUAGUC